GAGAGAACGGUUGCAACCCUGGUCGCAAUCUAGCCAGUUGAAGACAAGCCAGUAAGCCUGUUAGCUACAUUGAAGUCGAUCGGCAAGGGAAAGGACACUAAACCGCAACCUAGUUGCACGUUUAGUUUUGCCCUGCAAGCAAUCGCUGUGUGUGAUUCCUUCCGAGAGUAGAACAAAAGGCCAACGAAAGCCAUGCAUUAUUACCUAAGUAUCCGACUGCUUACUGUGGGUAUCAUCGCCUUUGCUGCUGCGGCUCUUGCAUACGAGUACCCUGGAUCAAACGAGGAUGUUGACUUGGCGGCACGAAGUGAGGAAGAACGCGACGGAAUCCUUGAUGAUGCCAAAAAUUUGCUGUCGUCUGUAGGAAACGUCGUUGAGCAGCACGUCGUGGAUCCUAUAAAGAAGUUAUUUGGCGCUGGAACUGACAGCAACCAGUAAUACUUCGUUAUGCCUUCCAGAACAGCAUUAGAGUCGAAUAUGCUGUGCACAGUCUUACGACAUCGUCACGACAAGCAAGCGGCAACACCGGCCCUGUUAUGUUACUUCAGAGUUAGUUUGGUAGUUCACUGUGUUAGAGGGAACACACGUAAAAUGCACAUCUGUAACUUUGCCUCUUCGGGCUAAUUGUUCAGCACAUCUUACGUUGCCUACUGUAAGCAGUGUUAUGUUACUGUUCUUUCAUUUCUGGUCAGAGUGUCAUUUUGCUUGCUUUUGUAUCAAAAUAAAUGGCAAGGAGUAGCAACG